UGAGGAAUAUUGCACAAUGGGCGCAAGCCUGAUGCAGCAACGCCGCGUGCGGGACGAAGGCCUUCGGGUCGUAAACCGCUUUUCUGGGGAAAGAGCAAGGACGGUACCUCAGGAAUAAGUCUCGGCUAACUACGUGCCAGCAGCCGCGGUAAAACGUAGGAGGCGAGCGUUAUCCGGAUUUACUGGGCGUAAAGCGCACGCAGGCGGCUCUGUGAGUCGGACGUGAAAGCUCCCGGCUUAACCGGGAGAGGCCGGUCGAUACUGCGGGGGUUGAGGUAGGGAGAGGAAUGGGGAAUUCCCGGUGUAGUGGUGGAAUGCGUAGGUAUCGGGGGGAACACCUGUGGCGAAAGCGGCAUUCUGGCCCUCACCUGACGCUGAGGUGCGAAAGCGUGGGUAGCAAAC
rnacentral:rRNA from 1 species